UAGAGUUUGAUCAUGGCUCAGGACGAACGCUGGCGGCAUGCCUAAUACAUGCAAGUCGAGCGCGGGAAGCAGACUGAAGUCUUCGGACGGACGUUUGUGGAACGAGCGGCGGAUGGGUGAGUAUCACGUGGGCAACCUGCCUAUGAGAUCGGGAUAACUCGCGGAAACGUGAACUAAUACCGAAUAAUUCUUCGAAUCACAUGAUCUGAAGAUAAAAGACGGCUUUUAUGCUGUCACUCAUAGAUGGGCCCACGGCCGCAUUAGCUAGUUGGUGGGAUAAAAGCUCACCAAGGCGACGAUGCGUAGCCGACCUGAGAGGGCGAUCGGCCACACUGGGACUGAGACACGGCCCAGACUCCUACGGGAGGCAGCAGUAGGGAAUCUUCCGCAAUGGACGAAAGUCUGACGGAGCAAUGCCGCGUGAGUGAUGAAGGUUUUCGGAUCGUAAAACUCUGUUGUUAGGGAAGAACAAGUACGACAGUAACUGGUCGUACCUUGACGGUACCUAACCAGAAAGCCCCGGCUAACUACGUGCCAGCAGCCGCGGUAAUACGUAGGGGGCAAGCGUUGUCCGGAAUUAUUGGGCGUAAAGCGCGCGCAGGCGGUCCUUUAAGUCUGAUGUGAAAGCUCACGGCUUAACCGUGAAAGGUCAUUGGAAACUGAAGGGCUUGAGUACAGAAGAGGAGAGUGGAAUUCCAUGUGUAGUGGUGAAAUACGUAGAUAUAUGGAGGAACACCAGUGGCGAAGGCGACUCUCUGGUCUGUUACUGACGCUGAGGCGCGAAAGCGUGGGAGCAAACAGGAUUAGAUACCCUGGUAGUCC
rnacentral:rRNA from 1 species